rnacentral:rRNA from 1 species
UUGAUCCUGGCUCAGGAUGAACGCUAGCUACAGGCUUAACACAUGCAAGUCGAGGGGCAGCAUGGUCUUAGCUUGCUAAGGCCGAUGGCGACCGGCGCACGGGUGAGUAACACGUAUCCAACCUGCCGUCUACUCUUGGACAGCCUUCUGAAAGGAAGAUUAAUACAAGAUGGCAUCAUGAGUCCGCAUGUUCACAUGAUUAAAGGUAUUCCGGUAGACGAUGGGGAUGCGUUCCAUUAGAUAGUAGGCGGGGUAACGGCCCACCUAGUCUUCGAUGGAUAGGGGUUCUGAGAGGAAGGUCCCCCACAUUGGAACUGAGACACGGUCCAAACUCCUACGGGAGGCAGCAGUGAGGAAUAUUGGUCAAUGGGCGAGAGCCUGAACCAGCCAAGUAGCGUGAAGGAUGACUGCCCUAUGGGUUGUAAACUUCUUUUAUAAAGGAAUAAAGUCGGGUAUGGAUACCCGUUUGCAUGUACUUUAUGAAUAAGGAUCGGCUAACUCCGUGCCAGCAGCCGCGGUAAUACGGAGGAUCCGAGCGUUAUCCGGAUUUAUUGGGUUUAAAGGGAGCGUAGAUGGAUGUUUAAGUCAGUUGUGAAAGUUUGCGGCUCAACCGUAAAAUUGCAGUUGAUACUGGAUAUCUUGAGUGCAGUUGAGGCAGGCGGAAUUCGUGGUGUAGCGGUGAAAUGCUUAGAUAUCACGAAGAACUCCGAUUGCGAAGGCAGCCUGCUAAGCUGCAACUGACAUUGAGGCUCGAAAGUGUGGGUAUCAAACAGGAUUAGAUACCCUGGUAGUCCACACGGUAAACGAUGAAUACUCGCUGUUUGCGAUAUACAGCAAGCGGCCAAGCGAAAGCGUUAAGUAUUCCACCUGGGGAGUACGCCGGCAACGGUGAAACUCAAAGGAAUUGACGGGGGCCCGCACAAGCGGAGGAACAUGUGGUUUAAUUCGAUGAUACGCGAGGAACCUUACCCGGGCUUAAAUUGCAGAUGAAUUACGGUGAAAGCCGUAAGCCGCAAGGCAUCUGUGAAGGUGCUGCAUGGUUGUCGUCAGCUCGUGCCGUGAGGUGUCGGCUUAAGUGCCAUAACGAGCGCAACCCUUGUUGUCAGUUACUAACAGGUUCCGCUGAGGACUCUGACAAGACUGCCAUCGUAAGAUGUGAGGAAGGUGGGGAUGACGUCAAAUCAGCACGGCCCUUACGUCCGGGGCUACACACGUGUUACAAUGGGGGGUACAGAGGGCCGCUACCACGCGAGUGGAUGCCAAUCCCAAAAACCUCUCUCAGUUCGGACUGGAGUCUGCAACCCGACUCCACGAAGCUGGAUUCGCUAGUAAUCGCGCAUCAGCCACGGCGCGGUGAAUACGUUCCCGGGCCUUGUACACACCGCCCGUCAAGCCAUGGGAGCCGGGGGUACCUGAAGUGCGUAACCGCGAGGAGCGCCCUAGGGUAAAACUGGUGACUGGGGCUAAGUCGUAACAAGGU